rnacentral:rRNA from 1 species
AUUGAACGCUGGCGGCAGGCUUAACACAUGCAAGUCGAGCGGAGUGAUGGUGCUUGCACUAUCACUUAGCGGCGGACGGGUGAGUAAUGCUUAGGAAUCUGCCUAUUAGUGGGGGACAACAUCUCGAAAGGGAUGCUAAUACCGCAUACGUCCUACGGGAGAAAGCAGGGGAUCACUUGUGACCUUGCGCUAAUAGAUGAGCCUAAGUCGGAUAGCUAGUUGGUGGGGUAAAGGCCUACCAAGGCGACGAUCUGUAGCGGGUCUGAGAGGAUGAUCCGCCAAACUGGGACUGAGACACGGCCCAGACUGCUACGGGAGGCAGCAGUGGGGAAUAUUGGACAAUGGGGGGAACCCUGAUCCAGCCAUGCCGCGUGUGUGAAGAAGGCCUUAUGGUUGUAAAGCACUUUAAGCGAGGAGGAGGCUCUUUUGGUUAAUACCCAAGAUGAGUGGACGUUACUCGCAGAAUAAGCACCGGCUAACUCUGUGCCAGCCGCCGCAGUAA